CCCUUCCGCAGGACGUCCUAGCACCGCCUUCUUCUCGGAGCCCUACCCGGGCUUUCGCAACACCUACAGCUCAGAGGUAACAUCACUGGGAGAAUGUAUGGACACUGGUAACACUAAUUGCCUCUGAAAACAGGGUCUAUAGGUUGGAUGUGGCUCUGCUAGGCUUAACUGGAAUCAGUUGGGCUUGACUUCAGGCUGCUGGUUGGGUUCAAGCCUGUUCCAUAUAUUUCCUCAUUCUUCUUGGACCAGUGGCUACCUGGAACAUGUUCUUCCCCCGGAGGGUCACUGGAGUCCAAGAGAGCAUGUGCAUUUCUCAUACUGCUAAGUGAUCUCUCUGAUCUGAUUGUAUUCAAUUCG
rnacentral:lncRNA from 1 species